rnacentral:rRNA from 1 species
GAUGAACGCUAGCGGCAGGCUUAAUACAUGCAAGUCGAACGGUAAGGUUUCUUCGGAGACACACGAGUGGCGCACGGGUGCGUAACGCGUAUGCAACCUACCUGUAACUGGGGAAUAGCCCCGAGAAAUCGGGAUUAAUACUCCAUAAUAUCCUAUGGAUGCAUAUCCUAAGGAUUAAAGCUCCGGCGGUUACAGAUGGGCAUGCGUGGCAUUAGCUAGUUGGUGAGGUAACGGCUCACCAAGGCAACGAUGCCUAGGGGUCCUGAGAGGGUUAACCCCCACACUGGUACUGGGACACGGACCAGACUCCUACGGGAGGCAGCAGUAAGGAAUAUUGGGCAAUGGACGCAAGUCUGACCCAGCCAUGCCGCGUGAAGGAUGACUGCCCUAUGGGUUGUAAACUUCUUUUGUACGGGAAAAAACUCCCGGUCGUGCACCGGGACUGAUGGUGCCGUGCGAAUAAGCAUCGGCUAACUCCGUGCCAGCCGCCGCCGUAAAAC